UACGUAGGGUGCGAGCGUUAAUCGGAAUUACUGGGCGUAAAGGGUGCGCAGGCGGUUCUGCAAGUCAGGCGUGAAAUCCCCGGGCUUAACCUGGGAAUGGCGCUUGAAACUACGGGACCGGAGUAUGGCAGAGGGAGGUGGAAUUCCACGUGUAGCGGUGAAAUGCGUAGAGAUGUGGAGGAACACCGAUGGCGAAGGCAAUCCCCUGGACCUGUACUGACGCUCAUGCACGAAAGCGUGGGGAGCAAACAGG
rnacentral:rRNA from 1 species